rnacentral:rRNA from 1 species
GUAGGUGGCAAGCGUUGUCCGGAAUUAUUGGGCGUAAAGCGCGCGCAGGCGGUUCUUUAAGUCUGAUGUGAAAGCCCACGGCUCAACCGUGGAGGGUCAUUGGAAACUGGAGAACUUGAGUACAGAAGAGGAAAGCGGAACUCCACGUGUAGCGGUGAAAUGCGUAGAGAUGUGGAGGAACACCAGUGGCGAAGGCGGCUUUCUGGUCUGUAACUGACGCUGAGGCGCGAAAGCGUGGGGAGCAAACAGGGAUUAGAUACCCUGGUAGUCCACGCCGUAAACGAUGAGUGCUAAGUGUUAGGGGGUUUCCCGCCCCUUAGUGCUGCAGCUAACGCAUUAAGCACUCCGCCUGGGGAGUACGGCCGCAAGGCUG